AUACUGUCAAGUACGAAAAGCCAAAGUAGAAAUACGUUUACAGUUUUACAACAAAAUAUUUUAUUUUGUUAAAAAUAGCAAUGACUGCAAAGUCAAAACAAAUCCAAUUCACGUGUUUCGGAGAUGAUGAAAACGCGUUCUUGGUCGAGUACUGGCGCAGCCCAAGUUUUCAAAAGAUUUUAGGCUUCUCCAAUCACAACGAGCGCGCGUUGAAAGAGUUGACGGAGGCAAUGCUGAAAGAGGGCUAUCGGCGAACACAGGCUGAAGUCCUUGAACAACUUCGUUACAAUCGGAGACGAUAUCUACGAAAUACAAAGGUAUAUGGAGAUGAUAAGCAGCAGCUUUGCAAAUGGCCGCUGUAUUCGUUGGUACAUCAAGUAUACGUUAAGCGAGAAGCACAACGACUUGAGUAUGUAAAGUCGUAUAAAUUUGAACGAGUAACAGAAGAAAACCCGAACAUUUCAAGUUAGUGGUGAUAAAUCCACGAGAAGAUUUGGAGUUAGAUGUAUCUGAUUUAUCAAGUGUUGAUACAUUUGAAGAUAUUGAUGAGGCACAAAAUGAUUCACAAUUUUGCCAUGAUGAAAAUAAUCUUCUAAUUAAAAGAACCCGUCGCUUGAAAUAUUAAUGGUAGAACUGGAAAAAUCAAUGCUCAAAAUAACUUAACAGUACCUCGUCAGCAAUUACACGGUCGAACUAAAAUUGAGCCCGAAUUUAUUGAUAUAGAGGAAUUGCAGAGAUCACACAACUAUUGGUGUAACAAACAAGUUCUUGAAGCAAGAAAGGGAGGACAUGGAGAAAACUAGUGUUUCGCCGGAAAUGCCCAGACUCCUAACGUUUAUGAUUCUAUCAGAUGUAGCAAUAAUUUUGACAGAUUUCACCUCCUACAAUAUCACAUCAUCCUACAGUUAGCAACAGAACUGCAGGCGUUGAUGCAAAAAACAUUACACGUAAGAACAUGAUUAACUUAGACUGAAAUACCUGUUUUCAUUGUAGGUAAAUCAAUAUUCAAAUUCAAAUAGAUCCGACAAAUAACCGUUUUCCACCAAAUGGUUUCUGCAGGCCAAUCCAAUGAGCAAAAGUUUAAAUCUACCUUGGCAUGCCCUGAUCUUGAGAAUAAUGCUGAGUAUUUUGGGGAUAAUGAUUCCUCACUUACCCCAGAUGAAACAAUAGAAGAAUGGGAGAUGAAUUAUUAUUAAACUUUAAAAAUUUGUAAAAUCGGAUGGUGCUGCCAAGAAUACUUAUCAUGCAAUAGGUUAGCAUGCAUUAAUUCAAGUAUUAAUAUGAUUUUGUCAACCUGUGAUAAAGUUUUGUUAAAAAUU